UACGAGGGGGCAAGCGUUGUUCGGAAUUAUUGGGCGUAAAGGGUGCGUAGGCGGUUUGAUAAGUCAUCUGUGAAAUCUCUGGGCUCAACCCAGAGUCUGCAGGCGAAACUGUCGGGCUUGAGUAUGGGAGAGGUGAGUGGAAUUCCGAGUGUAGAGGUGAAAUUCGUAGAUAUUCGGAAGAACACCAGUGGCGAAGGCGACUCACUGGACACGUAUUGACGCUGAGGUGCGAAAGCGUGGGGAGCAAACAGG
rnacentral:rRNA from 1 species